AGGGGCAUUGACUCAGUGAGUGGAAGAGGUUUGUUUGAAACAGACCGUAAUGGAGAGACCAGCGCCCAGGGAAGCGAGGGAGCAGCAGGCUCCUUCCGGCAGCGCAUCGAGAUGCAAAUACUGGAAGGACCUGGAUGUUAUCAUAUUUCCUCGGUAGAAAGCCAUGUGUGACUAGCUGCUUCUAACAAUCAGCAGGGCGUGGCCAGCUCUGCCAAGGUGGCAAUGGAUGCCAAUCUCAGAAUGUCCGCCGACAGAUUGCCUUCAUGCCGAGCAAGUGAAUGAGGUGUCCGCAAAGUGAUAAGAGUAAAGUGCAGAGUGGACCAGAUUAACAAUGUCCGUAGUGGAACAUGACAACCAGAACAGGACACAGUACUCCAGAAGAGGCCUGAACAACGUUGUGUACAACCACAACAUGAUGUCAGAACUCCUGUACACAAUGUCUGAGCAAUGAUGGCAAGCACGCUCAAUGCAUUCCCCACCACCCUGUCAACCUGUGACUCUGUCUGCAAUGAAUUAUGUGCCUGAACCCAUCAGUCUCUGUUCUACAAAACUACCCAUUUUACACAUCUCUGUCAUUUCCGCCUUCCUCAACAACCUUCUCUGCCUGAAAGAAAACAACCCAAACUCUCUCCAUCACAUACAGAAAGAAGAUUUGUUUCUGUCAGUCUUCCCAAUUGGAUAAAUACCAGUGUGAACAAUGACUAAUACAUGAUAUUGUAGUAUUGGUAGUUCACAGAUUCACACACUCACCAUUCAGUCGACUUCGCCCAAUCUCUGCAUAAUCGAAGUUUCUUGUGCAUCUGUCUUCACUCACAUCCUCAGCUCAAUUUCCCAUCACCUCGCUUGGAAGGAAGUAUUUUCAGAUUGUUUCCCAAGCAAGUCUCAAUUCUCCUUGCGACAACAAUUCACAAUCUUCUCCCCCUUUGAGAGAAGCCGUUUGUUCUCACUUCUGCUUUUGAUCUGCCGCACCACUUGCUCCUGAAGCAAUGACUCUCUUGUUCUAGAUUGCCUCACAUGAAGAGACAUCUCCUCUCCAUCUAUUUUUUCAAUUCUCCCCUUGAGCAUCUUCUAUCCCUCAAUUUAAUCUCUUCUCAUUCUUCUAAACUCCAGAGAAACUGCUCAAUCUCUCUACUAAGGCAAACCAGUCAUUUUUGGAAAUAAUCGAGUGAAUCUCCUUUGAACUGCCUCCAAUACAACUACAGCCGCCCUCAUGUAAAGAAACCAAAAUUGUACCCGUCUCUCCUCACAAAGCUCACAUUUCAUUUUGUCAUCAAUCCAGUUAAACUGCUGUGAACUCUCUCCAAUGCAACUGCUUUCCUCCUCAUGUCAGUGGACCAAAGGACUAUACAGUACUCCGGAUGCAGAAAUCCCAAUGCCUUGUACAUUUGAGAAGUCACACAACACCAGGUUAUAGUCGAAUUAGUUUAUUUAAAAUCACAAGAUUUUACCACACUGCCCCUUUGUCAGGUGAAGCGAUGGAGAGGCACAUAGACAGAAUUUGUAGGAGUCUCAAAUAAUCAGUCUCUUCAGGUGAUGAGUAGUUUCAGAGCAUUCAGAGGAUGUCAGCAGCUGAAUAACAAGCAAAGGGAUGAGCUAAAAUCUGAUAAAAUGAGGCAGUGAGAUAAUUACGAGAACUUAAAAAUAUGAUGGUGUUGCAAACAAAUGAAUGGGAUAACAUGACAGGUGCAAGAGUCAUAUACCAAGGGUUUAACCAAAGUAAUAAGUAAACUAAAACUGUAUAAACUAAUGGAGGUAGAGAGAUCAUACUAAUUUAUCAAGCUGGUGGUGCCAGAACAGGACAGCGAACAACGUUUUACAAAUACAGACCUGCGGGUGGGGUCACACGUAGCCUGCCAUGAGCCCAAGAACACGGUUGAGGCCGUCUUCAUGGAUAGGGAUCUUGGCUGGCCGUUUCUGCUGUGGUGAUUCUGCAUUGUUGUGUAUCUCGAAGGCCACCUU